rnacentral:rRNA from 1 species
GACGAACCGAGCGAACGUUAUUCGGAAUCACUGGGCUUAAAGGGUGCGUAGGCGGUCCCGUAAGUCAGGGGUGAAAUCCCACGGCCCAACCGUGGAAGUGCCUCUGAUACUGCGGGCCUGGAGGGGGAUAGGGGCGUGCGGAACUUCCGGUGGAGCGGUGAAAUGCGUAGAUAUCGGAAGGAACACCGGUGGCGAAAGCGGCGCGCUGGAUCCCUACUGACGCUGAGGCACGAAAGCCAGGGGAGCAAACGGG